CCUGAAUUUAAAAGACUUUUGGACAAGAAUCUAUCAUUGCAGUUUGAUGGUGCUAGACAGGUUUAAGGAAUAUUUCAAGCGUAUGAUCCUUUUAUGUAUCUUAUUAUAGUUGAAUGUGUACAGUUGGCAAGGUGUGGGCAAAAGAACAUUAUUGCAAUGGUGGUAAUAUGAGGAAAUGAUGAUAUCACGUUAGAAGUCCAGGAGCAAG
rnacentral:lncRNA from 1 species